UACGUAGGGGGCAAGCGUUGUCCGGAGUUACUGGGCGUAAAGCGCACGCAGGCGGUCUCUUAAGUUUGGAGUGACAGUUGGUGGCUUAACUGCCAAAGUGCUUCGAAAACUGAGAGACUUGAGGGCUUCAGAGGGACACGGAAUUCCGGGUGGAGUGGUGAAAUGCGUAGAGAUCCGGAGGAACACCAAAGGCGAAGGCAGUGUCCUGGGGGGUACCUGACGCUCAGGUGCGAAAGCCAGGGGAGCGAACGGG
rnacentral:rRNA from 1 species